rnacentral:rRNA from 1 species
AUUGAACGCUGGCGGCAGGCCUAACACAUGCAAGUCGAGCGGCAGCGGGAAAGUAGCUUGCUACUUUUGCCGGCGAGCGGCGGACGGGUGAGUAAUGCCUGGGAAAUUGCCCAGUCGAGGGGGAUAACAGUUGGAAACGACUGCUAAUACCGCAUACGCCCUACGGGGGAAAGCAGGGGACCUUCGGGCCUUGCGCGAUUGGAUAUGCCCAGGUGGGAUUAGCUAGUUGGUGAGGUAAUGGCUCACCAAGGCGACGAUCCCUAGCUGGUCUGAGAGGAUGAUCAGCCACACUGGAACUGAGACACGGUCCAGACUCCUAAGGGAAGCAGCAGUGGGGAAUAUUGCACAAUGGGGGAAACCCUGAUGCAGCCAUGCCGCGUGUGUGAAGAAGGCCUUCGGGUUGUAAAGCACUUUCAGCGAGGAGGAAAAGUCAGUAGCUAAUAUCUGCUGACUGUGACGUUACUCGCAGAAGAAGCACCGGCUAACUCCGUGCCAGCCGCCGCAGUAACAC